rnacentral:rRNA from 1 species
UACAGAGACCUCAAGCGUUAUCCGGAAUCAUUGGGCGUAAAGCGUGCCUAUAGGUGGUUUUGAAAGUCUUGGGUAAAAGCCAGAAGCUUAACUUCUGAGUUUGCUUAAGAUACUGCAAAACUAGAGGGGCAAAGAGGUGCUUGGAACGAACGGUGUAGUAGUGAAAUGCGUUGAUAUCGUUCGGAACACCAGCGGCGAAGGCGGCAUCCUGGACUGGUCCUGACACUCAGGAGCGAAAGCGUGGGGAGCGAUCCGG